rnacentral:rRNA from 1 species
AACAGGAUUAGAUACCCUGGUAGUCCACGCCGUAAACGAUGUCGACUUGGAGGUUGUGCCCUUGAGGCGUGGCUUCCGGAGCUAACGCGUUAAGUCGACCGCCUGGGGAGUACGGCCGCAAGGUUAAGACUCAAAUGAAUUGACGGGGGCCCGCACAAGCGGUGGAGCAUGUGGUUUAAUUCGAUGCAACGCGAAGAACCUUACCUACUCUUGACAUCCAGAGAACUUAGCAGAGAUGCUUUGGUGCCUUCGGGAACUCUGAGACAGGUGCUGCAUGGCUGUCGUCAGCUCGUGUUGUGAAAUGUUGGGUUAAGUCCCGCAACGAGCGCAACCCUUAUCCUUUGUUGCCAGCGGUUAGGCCGGGAACUCAAAGGAGACUGCCAGUGAUAAACUGGAGGAAGGUGGGGAUGACGUCAAGUCAUCAUGGCCCUUACGAGUAGGGCUACACACGUGCUACAAUGGCGCAUACAAAGAGAAGCGACCUCGCGAGAGCAAGCGGACCUCAUAAAGUGCGUCGUAGUCCGGAUUGGAGUCUGCAACUCGACCCCAUGAAGUCGGAAUCGCUAGUAAUCGUGGAUCAGAAUGCCACGGUGAAUACGUUCCCGGGCCUUGUACACACCGCCCGUCACACCAUGGGAGUGGGUUGCAAAAGAAGUAGGUAGCUUAACCUUCGGGAGGGCGCUUACCACUUUGUGAUUCAUGACUGGGGUGAAGUCGUAACAAGGUAACC